rnacentral:rRNA from 1 species
UACGGCGGGUGCAAGCGUUAUCCGGAUUCACUGGGCUUAAAGGGUGCGUAGGUGGGCAGGUAAGUCAGUGGUGAAAUCUCCGGGCUUAACUCGGAAACUGCCAUUGAUACUAUCUGUCUUGAAUACCGUGGAGGUCAGCGGAAUAUGUCAUGUAGCGGUGAAAUGCUUAGAUAUGACAUAGAACACCAAUUGCGAAGGCAGCUGGCUACACGAAUAUUGACACUGAUGCACGAAAGCGUGGGGAUCAAACAGG